GGGCCACGACGAGAAUCGCUAGUCGGAGAAAGUAAACAGCAAACUUCAAAAGGUCAGACCUGCCGAACGAUCGACGUUGAGGAUGAGAAGAUCGUGUUCCUCUGUACAAAGAUCUUCUGACUCUGUAAGGAUUACUGAUAUAGAUGCUGGGCUUCUAACGUUAUAUAGUAACGUUACUCGUAAUCCGUGCAUGCUCGACGAAGACGCUCCUCAGAAGUUGAAGACGGUAAGGCCUCAUCUCCACGUGAGAAAGUGAAAGCCAACAACUUGAGACCCCGGAGUACCGCAUCCCGGUUCGAAAUCGGGUUUCGAACAAGAAGACUGGUAUCGAGCAGUCGAGUAUCGAACAACUGUCCGAUCAUCUUGAAAAUGUAAAGAUUUACACUUAAUAUAUGUAUAUAUAUUCGUUCUAGUUUAUCGACAACUUCCUUACUGGAAAUUCAUUAGUUGGCUCGAGCGAGCACGAGUUCUCUUUAAUGGCAGCAUUCUUUGCUCUUUAUGGGAUAUCAUUUGCCCAUAUCACUUUUGCUCUAGAGCUUUUACUGUGGAUGGAAUACGUACGUUAUAAAUAUAAGGAUACGUGUUUGUUACAUAUAUUCCAAUGUUUUGUAUAUACCUUAAUUUCAUUAUUGGCACAAUGACAGAAGUUGAAAUAUUUUUUUAGAAUAUCCUUCAUAUUCAAUUUAUAUAGUUUUUCUUGGGACUGUCUACCAACAGGCUGAGUAUCAACUCAUCUGGAAAAUUAUGAGUGAUUCAUUAACGGUAGCUAAUCGUUAACAUUCCCAUGUAAAACUUUCUCGUUCCUGAGAGACGAUUAUCGGCUUUUAUUGUAGAUUGAAAAGCAAUCCAUAAUUGAACUUUAAUUAAAUGUAAUUUGUAUGUUCGGUACAGUGUAUCUGUAUACGUAUUAUGUAUCUUUAAGAAGACACUUCGUUCCAAGUAUUAUUAUUUCUGUUUCUUUAGAAUAAAAUCAAAAAUAUAUCUUUGGCACAGAGAUAACAUUA